UGGGUAUAUCAUCAGGUGUUACAUUAAGGCUGAGAUGUAGUUCAGAAUCAUUUCAUAACUCCAUCAAUGCCAGGAAGACUUGCAAACCCCUUGCGCUGCAAAACUC